GAUGAACGCUAGCUACAGGCUUAACACAUGCAAGUCGAGGGGUAACGAGAGGAAAGCUUGCUUUCCUUGUCGACGACCGGCGCGCGGGUGAGUAACGCGUAUCCAACCUGCCCCCAACUAGGGAAUAACCUCGCGAAAGUAAGACUAAUACCCUAUAAUUUCCUCAGAUGCCAUCUGCCGAGGAAUAAAGAUUUAUCGGUUGUGGAUGGGGAUGCGUCUGAUUAGCUUGUUGGCGGGGUAACGGCCCACCAAGGCAACGAUCAGUAGGGGUUCUGAGAGGAAGUUCCCCCACAUUGGAACUGAGACACGGUCCAAACUCCUACGGGAGGCAGCAGUGAGGAAUAUUGGUCAAUGGGCGGAAGCCUGAACCAGCCAAGUAGCGUACAGGAUGACGGCCCUAUGGGUUGUAAACUGCUUUUAUACAGGAAUAAAGUUAGCCACGUGUGGUUAUUUGUAGGUACUGUAUGAAUAAGGACCGGCUAAUUCCGUGCCAGCAGCCGCCGUAA
rnacentral:rRNA from 1 species